rnacentral:rRNA from 1 species
UGAAGGCUGAAAUUCGCCUUCACGAAGUCGGAAUUGCUAGUAAUGGCAGGUCAGCAUACUGCCGUGAAUACGUUCCCGGGCCUUGUACACACCGCCCGUCACACCAUGAGAGUUAGGAAUACCCGAAGCCUGUGAGCCAACUUUAUAAGAGGCAGCAGUCGAAGGUAGAACUAAUGAUUGGGGUGAAGUCGUAACAAGGUAUC